UACGGAGGGGGCUAGCGUUGUUCGGAAUUACUGGGCGUAAAGCGUACGUAGGCGGCUUUGUAAGUUAGAGGUGAAAGCCCAGAGCUCAACUCUGGAAUUGCCUUUAAGACUGCAUCGCUUGAAUCGUGGAGAGGUUAGUGGAAUUCCGAGUGUAGAGGUGAAAUUCGUAGAUAUUCGGAAGAACACCAGUGGCGAAGGCGGCUGACUGGACAUGUAUUGACGCUGAGGUGCGAAAGCGUGGGGAGCAAACAGG
rnacentral:rRNA from 1 species